UACGUAGGGUGCAAGCGUUAUCCGGAAUUAUUGGGCGUAAAGAGCUCGUAGGCGGUCUGUCGCGUCUGCUGUGAAAACUGGGGCUCAACCCCAGCCUGCAGUGGGUACGGGCAGACUAGAGUGCGGUAGGGGAGAUUGGAACUCCUGGUGUAGCGGUGAAAUGCGCAGAUAUCAGGAGGAACACCGAUGGCGAAGGCAGCUCGCUGGGACGGUACUGACGCUGAGGCGCGAAAGCGUGGGGAGCAAACAGG
rnacentral:rRNA from 1 species